AGGGGAAUGGCUGAAAAAAGUGAUAAAUUGUAAAUUUAUUUAUGGAGUCAAUCCUUCCCCU
rnacentral:tRNA from 1 species